rfam:Ictidomys tridecemlineatus contig088873, whole genome shotgun sequence.
UGGGUUGGGGCUCAGUGGCAGAGCUCUUGUCUAGCAUGUGUGAGGCCCUGGGUUCGAUUCUCAGCACCGCAU